rnacentral:lncRNA from 1 species
AUGGCCGCCUAUAGUUACCAACUCAAUCUAGCAAAUAUUAUUAUUAAUUCUAUCUUGAUUGUUAAUCACAUUAUUUUCAAAAAAAAAUUGUUUUCAUUCUUUUUCAAGAUUGUUUGGGCCAUAAAAUAAGUCGAAACUCAGCAUUUACUACAUAUACAACAACUAUCAUCUUGACCUUGAGGUUGCUUUGGGAUGAAAUACAGUUGAUGUGAAGCCAAACUGAUGGAUAUCUGUUGGAGGUGGAUCCGGGGGAGAGUGCUGUGACUGGUGCUGCUCGACUUGGACUUCAAGGAGGCCUGGGGUUGUUGUGCACAUACUCCAUCCAGGAUUACUGCAUAAGAGGUGUUGGAGGGGUGGCGCACAGAGAUGAAGUGGCCGGCACAUCCUGUAGCUCUAUCUGGGUGGACGAAUGCUGUUUCAAAUUCUCUGAACUGAAUCCGACUGAGCUCACACUGCUGGGAUCUCGAUCUCACGGAUUUCCUACUCCAUAAUCAUCAUGGCUAGGAGUAGUCAGUGGGACUGACGCAUUGGGCAUCACAGCAUCUCUGGCAACGGGCUCCAAAUUAUGUAUGUCCGGAUAGGAGAUGAACGAGUUCGGGUUGGUGUCAUCCAUGGUGAACUUGUGAAGAUAAUACAAUGUGCACGGAGAAAUUGAUUCAAUUGUAGUGUAUGAAAUUGUUGAUCAGAACAAGUGCGAAUUGGAAUAAGUGAUUGUGACAAGUGAACAAAAAUUACAGUUGCAGAUGUUUGAACGAAUACAGGUAUGAGAAUAGACAUUUAUCAUUAACAUAGAAUCUAGCACAAUUACUAACACUAAUAGAAGGAAUGACCUUUGAAUUGAUCUUUAUGAUAAUUACUCUCAAGCCCUAGAAACAUACCUAGAUGAGGUAUCUUCAAGUUCGCCCUUUCCCUCAAAUUUUAUUAAAUGGCUGACUUUUAUUAUUGAAUGAUUGUGUGUGACAUAUUUUUUAUUGAUUCUUGAUUGUUCAAGAUAAUACUUUCGACUCAUGGAGGUUAUAAUAACACAGUUUAUAACCGGGGUUGGAAAAUUUUACAAUAGUAAAGUUCCCAAAAAUUUUCCCUAUCUUUGUUGCUGUAAUAUACAGAACAACAAUAUCUCUGCAAUCAAUCAGUGGCCUCUUCAAAGCUCUGAGCUGGGCGCCAUGUGUGACAGGCCUAGCUCCAGGGAGGGCAUGGACCACACAAAAAAUAGAUGAAUUUAUGGAAGUGCUCACUUUUAUGGGUACAUGAAUAUAUGCCCCUCUGUGUAAUAUCAGACCUGAGAAUUUAUUUAAUUGGUUGAGAAAUUUGUAGUUUAUCCCAGAUGUAGGA